GCACGUGCUAAUUGCGUUGCACUUUACAUUCAUUUAACAGAAAAGACAAGAAGGGCGAAAACACACUAUGAAAACUGUUUUGUGUUUUAUCAGGCAUGCUGUU